GUUCCGCCGCCGCCCGUCCCGAGGCGUGCGCAGCCCCCGCUGUCUGCCGCGCGCCUCUGCCUGCCGAACGACGAGGAGGAACCGGAGUGUGGCGGAACGUCCGUCCUCAAAGGCUGCCCCCCACCGUGCCGCCCCUGGGAGUUUGGGACGUGGCGCUGAACGAAGCGGUCGGUGAUUCAGCUGCGGCUGCUUCUGGUGGGGAUCACAGAGCGGUUGGAGUUGGAAGAGGCUCUCAGAAGUCCAACUCGCAGCAUUGGGCACAGACACCCACAGCUCCAUCGGUGCUCGGAGCCCCCCCGGCCUCACCUCGGGUGUCUGCAGGGAUGGGCACCACCGCCCCUACGAGCAGCCCAUUCCAGUGCCUCACCGCCCUUAUUGUUUUCCUUACAUCCAAUCUAGAGCUCCCCUCUGUUAGUUUGAAACCAUUUCCCCCUGUCCUAUCACCCUGCUAAAGAGUCUGUCCCCUUUCUUACAGCCCCUUCAGACUGACAGGCCGCUAUAGGUCUCCCCGCAGCCUUCCCUUCUCCAGCUGCACAGCCCAGCUCUCAGCCUGGAGGUGUUCCAUCCCUGGGAACAUUUUUGUGGCCCUCCUCUGGAUGCUCUCCAACAGCCCCACGUCCCUCCUGUACUGAGGACUCCCAUCCGGGCGCAGUGCUGCAGGGCUGCGCUCCAUCCUCACACCCCCUGGCUCAUACUGAUGGUGAGGGUUGCUGUGACCCGGGUGCAGACCUCGCACGUGGAUUUAUUGAACCUCAUAAGGCUGAUUCCAGACCAUCCAGGUGGCGACUCCAAAGAGACAGGAAAACUAGGGAAUGACCAACAUCAGGCAUCUGCUGUGGGUGGUGUGGAAGUGUGGCUGCAGCUGAUGGUAUCAGGGCUGCAGCAGCAGAGCUGCAGCUGCUGGAGGAGCUUGAUCACAUGAGAAGUGCCUGGCCAUGGGAUGCCACAGACACCGGAGGCACGAGCAUGGAAAGGGAUUACAGAAGCUUACAGAAAACAGAUUUCUCACUGUCUGCUAAAAAUGUUUCUGAGUCGUCUUCCAGCCCACAAAGUCCAUGAAGUCACUUCUCUGCGCUCGCUCUGUUUCUGUGGUCAGUUUAAAUGAGGUACCUGAGUCGAUCUAACAGCUUGCUGAUGGUACAUGCAGUUCUGCUCCCGUCCUCCUGCAGCUAUUUGUGAGUCUGUGCUGCUUCUGUUGCACCACUUCUGGCAUUCAAUCUGUUCAUUAAACCGG
ensembl:lncRNA